CCUACGGGUGGCAGCAGUGAGGAAUAUUGGUCAAUGGACGAGAGCCUGAACCAGCCAAGUAGCGUGAAGGAUGACUGCCCUAUGGGUUGUAAACUUCUUUUAUAUGGGAAUAAAAUGUUCCACGUGUGGGAUUUUGUAUGUACCAUAUGAAUAAGGAUCGGCUAACUCCGUGCCAGCAGCCGCGGUAAUACGGAGGAUCCGAGCGUUAUCCGGAUUUAUUGGGUUUAAAGGGAGCGUAGGUGGAUUGUUAAGUCAGUUGUGAAAGUUUGCGGCUCAACCGUAAAAUUGCAGUUGAGACUGGCAGUCUUGAGUACAGUAGAGGUAGGCGGAAUUCGUGGUGUAGCGGUGAAAUGCUUAGAUAUCACGAAGAACUCCGAUUGCGAAGGCAGCUCACUAGACUGCAACUGACACUGAGGCUCGAAAGUGUGGGUAUCAAACAGGAUUAGAUACCCUGGUAGUC
rnacentral:rRNA from 1 species